rnacentral:rRNA from 1 species
CAUACGAUCUACGGAUGAAAGCGGGGGACCUUCGGGCCUCGCGCUAUAGGGUUGGCCGAUGGCUGAUUAGCUAGUUGGUGGGGUAAAGGCCUACCAAGGCGACGAUCAGUAGCUGGUCUGAGAGGACGACCAGCCACACUGGGACUGAGACACGGCCCAGACUCCUACGGGAGGCAGCAGUGGGGAAUUUUGGACAAUGGGCGAAAGCCUGAUCCAGCAAUGCCGCGUGUGUGAAGAAGGCCUUCGGGUUGUAAAGCACUUUUGUCCGGAAAGAAAUCCUUGGCUCUAAUACAGUCGGGGGAUGACGGUACCGGAAGAAUAAGCACCGGCUAACUACGUGCCAGCAGCCGCGGUAAUACGUAGGGUGCGAGCGUUAAUCGGAAUUACUGGGCGUAAAGCGUGCGCAGGCGGUUUGCUAAGACCGAUGUGAAAUCCCCGGGCUCAACCUGGGAACUGCAUUGGUGACUGGCAGGCUAGAGUAUGGCAGAGGGGGGUAGAAUUCCACGUGUAGCAGUGAAAUGCGUAGAGAUGUGGAGGAAUACCGAUGGCGAAGGCAGCCCCCUGGGCCAAUACUGACGCUCAUGCACGA